rnacentral:ribozyme from 1 species
CUAACCAUUUGUUCUGUAAUAGGGUUGGAUCCGACGCCUCUAGAAGGCUACUAUAGGCUCUCCUUCUCAACUCCUACUCAAUACGUCCACGUCGUGCAGAACGGUAACUUGUUGCUCAGAUCCAAGCUUGGGUACACGGGGAAACCCAACCCCUCGGGCGGAUGAGCGGCAAGGCAGAAUUGAGAGGU